rnacentral:rRNA from 1 species
UGCUUAUCAACUAGCCCCACCCCUAUAACUUAAUCAACCACUAUAAACAAGUAGAAAAGCACUACACACACUUAACCAAAUCAUUUUCCCUCCUAAGUCUAGGCGAUAAAAAAGGAAAUUCGGAGCAAUAGAAAAAGUACCGCAAGGGAAAGCUGAAAAAGAGAUGAAACAGCCCAGUAAAGCUAAAUAAAGCAGAGACUAAAACUCGUACCUUUUGCAUCAUGAUUUAGCUAGAACUAACAAGCGAAGAGAAUCUAAAGUUUGUAACCCCGAAACUGAGGGAGCUACUCCAAGACAGCCUAUCUUGUAGGGCAAACCCGUCUCUGUGGCAAAAGAGUGGGAAGAGCUUUGAGUAGAGGUGAUAAACCUACCGAACUCAGUGAUAGCUGGUUGCCCGUGAAUUGGAUUAAAGUUCAGCCCCCUUACAUUUCCCCAACCAUGUUGACAAGGCAUGCUCUUUGUCACACCCCUAGACGAAGUGAGAAACCCGGGUGGUUAGUCAAAGGGGGUACAGCCCCUUUGAAACAAGACACAACUUUUAUAGCAGGAUAAAGAUCAUAUUUAACCAAGGACAAAUGUUCUAGUGGGCCUAAAAGCAGCCAUCUUAGCAAAAAGCGUUAAAGCUUAAACAUGCAUAUUUCCACCAAUACCGAUACCUUAUCUUAAUCCGCUUAAUACCUAACGAGCCGUUCCAUGCCUACAUGGAAGCGACCAUGCUAAUAUGAGUAAUAAGAGAAUCUAGUAUUCUCUCCUUGCACGUGUGUAAUUCGGAUCGGACAACCCACCGAAAAAUUAACGGCCCCAAUCAAAGAGGGCAUUGGAAAAUUCACCAACACACCAGAAAAACAUCCAACUUAACCCGUUACCCCUACACAGGUGUGCACCACAGGAAAGACUCAAAGGGGGAAAAGGAACUCGGCAAACAUACCCUAAGCCUCGCCUGUUUACCAAAAACAUCGCCUCUUGCAACUCGUAAUAUAAGAGGUCCUGCCUGCCCCCUGACGUAAUGUUCAACGGCCGCGGUAUUUUAACCGUGCUAAGGUAGCGUAAUCACUUGUCUUUUAAAUAAAGACCCGUAUGAAUGGCUAGACGAGGGCUUAACUGUCUCCUCCCCCAGGUCAAUGAAUUUGAUCUCCCCGUGCAGAAGCGGGGAUAUUAGCAUAAGACGAGAAGACCCUGUGGAGCUUUAGAUAUAAAAUUGACCCAUGUUAACUAAGACCCCCUACCAGGUUACAAGCUCAGUGGACCCUCGUUUGAUGUCUUCGGUUGGGGCGACCAUGAGGAACACAAAACCCUCACGUGGAAACAGGAGCAGUAAAGCAAUUUUACAACCACUCCUUCAAAUCAGAGCGACAGUUCCAAUUAGCAGAUAAUUCUGACCAAAUAGAUCCGGCGUAUGCCGAUCGGCGAAUCAAGUUACCCCAGGGAUAACAGCGCAAUCCCCUUUUAGAGUCCAUAUCGACAAGGGGGUUUACGACCUCGAUGUUGGAUCAGGACAUCCUAAUGGUGCAACCGCUAUUAAGGGUUCGUUUGUUCAACGAUUAAUAGUCCUACGUGAUCUGAGUUCAGACCGGAGUAAUCCAGGUCAGUUUCUAUCUAUGUUGUUACCCCUUCCAGUACGAAAGGACCGAAGAGGUGAGGCCCAUGUUCAUGAUACGCCUCCUCCUUACCUGAUGAAAGUAUCUGAAUUGGAUAAAAGGACACACCCGCCUUGGCCAAAGAUAAUGGCUU